rnacentral:rRNA from 1 species
AUUGAACGCUGGCGGCAUGCCUUACACAUGCAAGUCGAACGGUAACAGGUCUUCGGAUGCUGACGAGUGGCGAACGGGUGAGUAAUACAUCGGAACGUGCCCGAGAGUGGGGGAUAACGAGGCGGAAGCUUUGCUAAUACCGCAUACGAUCUCAGGAUGAAAGCAGGGGACCGCAAGGCCUUGCGCUCACGGAGCGGCCGAUGGCAGAUUAGGUAGUUGGUGGGAUAAAAGCUUACCAAGCCGACGAUCUGUAGCUGGUCUGAGAGGACGACCAGCACACUGGGACUGAGACACGGCCCAGACUCCUACGGGAGGCAGCAGUGGGGAAUUUUGGACAAUGGGCGCAAGCCUGAUCCAGCCAUGCCGCGUGCAGGAUGAAGGCCUUCGGGUUGUAAACUGCUUUUGUACGGAACGAAAAGACUCUGGUUAAUACCUGGGGUCCAUGACGGUACCGUAAGAAUAAGCACCGGCUAACUACGUGCCAGCCGCCGCCGUAAUAC